GUUUUGGUCCUAAACUUGCCCUUGUUUUUUACCAAGAUUAUACAUGCAAGCCUCCACACACCAGUGAGAAUGCCCACACACCCCUAAACAGCAAACCGGAGCAGGCAUCAGGAUACAACACAUUCAGCCUAAGACGCCUUGCACAUGCCACACCCCCACGGGCUUUCAGCAGUAAUUAACAUUAAGGUAUGAGCGCAAGCUCGACUUAGUUAUGGUAUAUGUGGUCGGUAAAUUUCGUGCCAGCCACCGCGGUUAUACGAAAGACCAAAAACAACGGCCCACGGCGUAAAGCGUGACUAGAGAACUAGAACAACUUAGGGGAAAACGGCCGCCAAGCAGUAAAACACCCAUGCACACCAGAAUCACAACAUCAGCCUCUAACAACACUUUACCUCACGAAAGCUAAGGAACAAACUGGGAUUAGAUACCCCACUAUGCUUAGCCAUAAACAUAAACAGUAAAAACACAACACUGUUCGCCAGAGAACUACAAACGAAAAGCUUAAAACUCCAAGGACUUGGCGGUGCUUCAAAUCAACCUAGAGGAGCCUGUCCUAUAAUCGAUACCCCACGUUCAACCUUACCCCUCCUAGCCAAACAGCCUAUAUACCGCCGUCGUCAGCCUACCUUAUGAAAGAAAUAAAGUAAGCAAAAAAGUUAACAACUAGCACGUCAGGUCAAGGUGUAGCACACGGAGGGGCAGAGAUGGGCUACAUUUUCACAAAGCGAAAACACAAAUGGUAGACUGAAACACACACCUGAAGGCGGAUUUAGCAGUAAAAUAACUAAGAAUAGUUACUUUAAACCUGCUCUGAAGCACGCACACACCGCCCGUCACCCUCAUCACAUGU
rnacentral:ncRNA from 1 species